rnacentral:lncRNA from 1 species
ACUUAUUAUGCAGUUAAACAUAUCUGGUUCAUAAUUGAUAAAGUAGCACGGCUAUAUUGUUGUAAAGUGAGUAAAUGGUAAUGAUAACUCUUGAAACUUUGGCUACCAAUAACACGCAUAACUUUCUAAAAUCAUAGCAGUGUCCCCUGUAGAGUCACCAUAGGAUCGAAGUUCUAUUUUCCAGUGUCCCCGGAGAAACAAGGUGAACUUCAGGAGAGGCGGGGUGGGGAAAUGUCCAUCAAAUGAGAUUGGGAUGGCACAUGAGAUUUCAAAAUGCACUAGGUGUGUGUUAUAGCUUCUCUGGGACAGGCCUGUAGCCUGGUUGUUAUUGACACUAAUUGGCAGUCUUGGGUAGGCAAGCUCAGAAGAGGCCUAAGAGUGAACUUUGAGAAGCUAGCCUCCCAGACCAGUAAGGAAAGACUGUGUUGAAAACUCUGUGACCUACCCUACCAUAUAGACUUUUCAUCUGUUCCACAGACUAAUACAUUUGUGUUUCCUGAACAAUGAAUCGAUCCAAUCUUUGAGAAUGAAGAGGUUACUUUAAAAUCCCAUCAAAGAAGAAUUUUCCCAUGGCUAUUGCUGAUGAAAGGCACACACUUAUGGGACCUUCACUAGUCAGCAGUCUUCACCUCAGGUGGCCAUCUCAAGGGUGCAUUAAACUUCUAUAAUACAAACGAGAUACUAACAUUUCACCUCUUCCCGAUUCUCCAUUCAUGACUGAAACGGAAACUCGAGUCUACUAAGUGAGGUUUGUGCUCAGUAUUUUACAAUGAAAGUUUAAAUUGUCUAACAGAACAACCUUAAAUUAUGACUAGCUUUAUAAAUUUCAUUCAGUUACAGUAAUCAUCAAUUAUAUUGUCAUAUAAGCAGCAGACUGUUAAAUUAUUUCAUAUUUUUAGGUAAUUCUCUAUGCUCUUAAAAGACAAUCAGAAACAAAGGUAAUAAAAAUGAUAUUUUGGGGAUUUUUAACUGAAAUGAGCAUUGUGUUUAUGUUCAUUAAAUCUUUAUGUUUAUAACUCU